UACGGAGGGUGCAAGCGUUAUCCGGAUUCACUGGGUUUAAAGGGUGCGUAGGUGGUUUAGUAAGUCAGUGGUGAAAUCUCCGGGCUUAACCCGGAAACUGCCAUUGAUACUAUUAGUCUUGAAUACCGUGGAGGUCAGCGGAAUAUGUCAUGUAGCGGUGAAAUGCUUAGAUAUGACAUAGAACACCAAUUGCGAAGGCAGCUUACUACACAGUUAUUGACGCUGAGGCACGAAAGCGUGGGGAUCAAACAGG
rnacentral:rRNA from 1 species